UGGGGAAUCAUGGUCAAUGGGCGAAAGCCUGAACCUGCGACGCCGCGUGAGUGAUGAAGGUCGUAAGAUCGUAAAACUCUUUUCAGGGAUCUUAAAGCCUGUCUGUCAACAACAGGCAGGUCUGACUCUCCCUGGAAGAAGCCCCAGCCAACUACGUGCCAGCAGCUGCGGUAAUACGUAGGGGGCGAGCGUUAUUCGGAAUUACUGGGUGUAAAGGGUAUGUAGGCGGGAAAUCAAGCAGGAUGUGAAAUCCUAUGGCCCAACCAUAGAAUUGCAUUCUGAACUGGUUUUCUUGAGUGCAGCAGGGGAGUGCGGAAUUCCCGGGGUAGGGGUGAAAUCUAUAGAUAUCGGGAAGAACACCGGUCGGGAAGGCGGCACUCUGGGCUGUAACUGACGCUGAGGCACGAAAGCGUGGGUAUCGAACC
rnacentral:rRNA from 1 species